rnacentral:rRNA from 1 species
ACGAACGCUGGCGGCAUGCCUAACACAUGCAAGUCGCACGAGACCUUCGGGUCUAGUGGCGCACGGGUGCGUAACGCGUGGGAACCUGCCCUUAGGUUCGGAAUAACUCCCCGAAAGGGGUGCUAAUACCGGAUAAUGUCUUCGGACUAAAGAUUUAUCGCCUUUGGAUGGGCCCGCGUUGGAUUAGCUAGUUGGUAGGGUAAAAGCCUACCAAGGCGACGAUCCAUAGCUGGUCUGAGAGGAUGAUCAGCCACACUGGGACUGAGACACGGCCCAGACUCCUACGGGAGGCAGCAGUGGGGAAUAUUGGACAAUGGGCGAAAGCCUGAUCCGGCAAUGCCGCGUGAGUGAUGAAGGCCUUAGGGUUGUAAAGCUCUUUUACCCGGGAUGAUAAUGACAGUACCGGGAGAAUAAGCUCCGGCUAACUCCGUG